CUUCCCCUAACCUUGUGGUUGAAGUAGAACGUCUGAGUUCAAAGCUUUGUUGUUGUGGGUUGAUUUGAGUUAUGGUUCAUUUCCGAACUUGCAAUUCCUGCGAUCUAAUAAGAGCAUUGAUGGUUUAGUCAGUGUCAAGUAUAUGAAGUAUGAACCAUACGAUAAUGAUUAUGAGGUUGAUGAUAAUAACUUUGAAAUAAAAUUUGAGCAAUAAGUUGGUUUCGCUGGAUUAUACGUGACUGCUAGUAACUAGAUGGAUGUAGCUGAUCAACUAACAAUGAAAUUCAUAUGGAAAAUUAACUUUAAUAAUCCUGGCCCAGAUAAUAAUUUCCAUAUUGUGUCUUAUUCAUAUACAGUAUAACCAAUAUGUGCAUCAAAUUAAUUCUAGCCAUCCACCAUAUCUAAAGCCUAAUUUAAUAGGUAAUUCCAAGAUUCAUCAAUAGUAACUGUGAAGUCAAUAAUUCCAAGAUUCAUCAAAAGUAACUCUUAAGUCAAUGAAUGCUUUCAAAUCAUGCAUCACUACACAGAAAGAUGUACUAGGGGAAAAGAAUGUACCUGUAAUAUGGACUAAACACCUUUUAACAGCAGCUGAUCAAGCUCAGUUUUUAGCUCCGUCAACUCAACCUAAUUUUCAUUUCUGCAUUGCAGCAACUGCCUCCUAGCUCGUUAAGUUUCUGAUUUUUUUUUUCUUGAGAUGGUAUUUUCUGCCAAAGAUUGACAUUCAUAUUAUCAUUAGAUCAUACUUUGAAGCAUAUACUUUGGCAAUCCAAUGGUUUAGGAGUGUUGAAUUUCAGAUAACUCAACAUCACAAACUAACAAGUGUAGAAAAGGAUCCAAAUCACAGUAAUCUUUGAACAUUCUAUUUGCAAGAAGUGUAGGAAAGUAUUAAACUUUCACAUUCCAAAAACUCUGAAUCAAGCCAAGAAAAUUCCUGAAGAUUUCUACUUCCAUGGUUCCAAAUUUUAAAAAAUCCACAUCCAGAACUAUAAAUUCGAUAAGAAAAAAAAGACGAUAAGCAAUAAUUAAGGUUUAUACAGAUUUUAACACUCACCAGUCGAAAUC
rnacentral:lncRNA from 1 species